rnacentral:rRNA from 1 species
UAGGGAAUAUUAGAAAUGGACGAAAGUCUGAUCUAGCAACACCGCGUGUGCGAAGAAGGCCUUCGGGUCGUAAAGCACUUUUUGGAAGGAAUAGGAAGGAAUGUACUUCCAGAAUAAGUCUCGGCUAACUACGUGCCAGCAGCCGCGGUAACACGUAGGAGGCAAACGUUAUCCGGAUUUACUGGGCGUAAAGCGCGUGUAGGUGGUUCUGUAAGUAGGGCGUGAAAGCUCCUGGCUCAACUGGGAGAGGCCGUUCUAAACUGCAGAGCUAGAGGAUGGUAGAGGGAGGUGGAAUUCCGGGUGUAGCGGUGGAAUGCGCAGAUAUCCGGAGGAACACCAGUGGCGAAAGCGGCGACCUGGACCAUUGCUGACACUCAGACGCGAAAGCUAGGGUAGCAAACG